rnacentral:snRNA from 1 species
AUACUUACCUGGCAGGGGAGAUACCAUGAUCAAGAAGGUGGUUCACCCGGGGCGAGGCUCAGCCAUUGCACUCCGGUUGCGCUGACCCCCUGCGAAUUCCCCAAAUGUGGGAGUCUCGACUGCAUAAUUUCUGUAGUGGGGGACUGCGUUCGCGCUCUCCCCUG